ACACAGAGUGCUGAUUGGUGCUUUUACAAUCCUUUAGCUAGAAAAGUUCCCCAAGUCUCCACCCCACCUGGAAGCCCAGCUGGCUUCACCUCUCAAUGGCACUCCUGCAGCCCAGAGGGAGCUCGGUUCACGGAUCAAGCCCAGCAGGCGCGGGCGGGCGGAGCCAAGUGCGGGGCCCGGCUCCUCGGCUCCUCUGAGCCCCAACCCCCACCAAGCCCGCGCCCACCCGGAACCGCGCCAGCCAGCGAGCGCCGCGCCCAGCCCCAGCUCCCGCCCGCGCCUCUCUCUCCACACCUGGAGCCAGCAGAGGGAGGCGGCUACGCCCUUGGUCAGCCGCAGAGAGGGGCCCCCACAGCGCAGCCGCGGGCUGAAGGGCUCCUUGAGCGCGGCCAGAGCGGACGCCGAGGCCGAGGAGGCACCCAGAGCGAGCGGGGGCUACCAGCACGUUGUCACCUCUCAAUGGCAGAUGAAGGUCAAAAGCUCUAUCAUGAUGCAGCACAAAGCCCUCCCCAGAAGCUGACCAGACAGCCACCUGAUCUUGGACUUCACAGCCUCCAGAACUGUAAGAGGACAGGUGCAGUGGCUCAUUCCUGCAGUCCUAUAACUUCGGGAGACCAGGCAGGAGAGCUGUUCCAGCCCAGAAGUAUGAAACCAGCCUGAGCCACAUGGUGAGACUUCGUCGCAAAAGAGAGAAAAUAAACCAAAGAAAAGAAAGAGAGAGAGAGAGAGAGAAACUUUACAGCCAUAAACAUAGGCUAUCUUUCUGUUUAUUUUGACUUUUAAUUUUUUCAGUGAUGCUUUGUAAUUUUGAGUGUACAACCCUUGAAAUUUGUGUUCAAUUUAUCCCUAAAUGUUCACUCUUUUUAAUGCUAUUUUAAAUAGCUUAUUUUCUUAAAUUCAUGUUGAUAUUGUUUACUUCUAAUGUUUAGAGUAUAACUGAUUUCUGCAUAUUGAUCUUAUAUCCUGGACUUGUUUAUUAGUAUUGCUUUUGUGAGUUUCUAAUAAUUUUCUACAUACAAGAUUAUGUAAUUUGUGAAUAGGGAUAGUUUUACGCUUUUUUUUCCAGUCUAAAUGUCACUUAUUUAUUUUCUUUUCCAAUUACCCUGGCUAGAUCCUCCAAUAAAAUAAUGAAUAUAAGUGGUGAGAGCAGACAUCCUUAUCCUGUUUCUGAUCUUAAGGGGAAAGUGUUGUUUUCUCACCACUGAUAUGAUGUUAGUUGUAGGUUUUAUGCAGAUUCCUUCACCAGGCUAAGGAAAUUCCCUUCCAUUCCUAAUCUGUUGAGGUUUUUUUUGUUAUCAUGAAAGGGUAAAUGAGUUUGUCAAAUUCUUUUACUGUAUCUAUUAAAAUAAUCUUAUGUUUUUGUUCUUCUAUGAAUACAAUGUAUUACGUUGAUUGAUGUUGUUAUGUUAAACUAGUCUUGAAUUUCUGAAAUAAAUUCCACUUGCUCAUGUUGUAUAAUCCUUUUUGCAUAUUGCUGGUACAUAUAUUUAAAUAUAUUUUAUAUAUGCUAUUUGCUAGUGUGUUGUUGAAAAUUUUACAUUUAUAUUCAAAAGAAACAUUGGUCUGUAGUUUCUUUUCUUUUGAUGUCUUUAUUCAGUUUUGGUAUCAGGGUAAUACUGGCUCAUAUAAUAGGUUGGAAAUGAUUUUCUCCUUUUGCAUUUUUGGGAAAAGUUUGUAAAAACUUGAGAAAAGUGUGUGAAGAAUUAUAUUUUAUGCUUUAAAAUUCAGUAGAAUCAACUAAUGAACUACCUGCACCUGGGUUGGGUUUUCUGGAGGUGGUUUUUUGCUUAUUAAUUGAAUCUCUUUGCUUUUUAUACAUAUUCAGAUUUUUUCUUGAGUCAGAGUUGGAAGUUGGUGUCAUCUGGGAAUGUGUGCAUUUCAUCCAAGUAACCUAAGUUGUUCCCACACAAUUGCUUAUCAUAUUUUUUUGAAAUGUUGUUUUACCUGCAUCCUCUAAAUUUGUGUGUGUGUGUGUUUUUGUUUUCAUUUAUCUCAAAGUAUUUUCUAAUUUCUCUUAUGAUAUCUGCUUUGAUCCAUUAGUUAUUUAUGAGUGUUAUGCUUACUUUCCACAUUUUCUCUCAUUUUUGUGAAUUUUCCAAGUUGCUUUCAGUAAUUGACAUAAAAUUUAAUUCUAUUGUCUUCAAAGAACAUUUUUUGUACAAUAUUAAUUCUUUCAAUAUUUACUGAGAUUGUUUCAUGGUGUUACUUAUUGUCUAUCUUGGAGAAUGUUCCAUGUGCAUUUAAGAAGAAUGUGAAUUCUGUCGUUUUCAGGUGGAAUGUCCUACAGAGAUGUGUUAGGUCUAGUUUUUUAUCCUGUUGUUCAAGUUCUCUACUUGUGUGUUUAUUUUAUAUCUAAUUGUUCCAUUCAUUAUUAAAUGUGGGUUAUUGAAGACUCCGAUUUUAUUGCUGUUUUUCCCUUUAAGUCUUUCCGUUUUUGUUUCAUGUAAUUCAGAGAUCAGUUGUUAGAGUCAUAUAUGAUAAUAAUUUAAAUUUUUUUUGAUAUCUGGUCCUUUUAUUCUUUUCAAGUAUUCUUUUUUCCUAGUAACAAUUAUUUAUUAUGAGUUUAUGAUGUCUGAAACUAAUUUUUCUGCUUCAACUCCCUUUUAGUUACUGUUUGAAUAAUGUCUUAGUCUGUCUGUGCUGCUAUGACAAAUUAUCUGAGACUGGAUAAUUUACAAACCACAGAAAUGUGUUUCCUCACAGUUCUGGAGGCUGGGAAGUCCAAGAUUAAGUGGCUAGUAUUUGAGGUCUGGUGAGGGCCUUCUUGCUGUGUCCUCAUGUGGCAGAAGGUGGAAGAACAAGAGGGCGAAAUGCUGUGUGCAGCCUCUUUUACAAGGAUUUUAAUCUCAUCCACCAGGGAGGAUCCCUCAUGGCCUAAUCAUCUCUUAAAGGACCCACCUUCACAGCCCCAUCACCUCUUAGGGGCUUACUUCUUAACAUCAUCACAUUAGCCAUUGAGUUUCAAAUGGGACACAUUCAAACUGUAGCAUAAUUUUCUAUCUGUUUACAUUCAACCUAUUUGUGUUUUUGAAUCUAAAGUCUUUCUCUUAUAGUCAGCAGAUAAUUGGAUCUUUUUAAAUCUAUGAUGACAAUCUCAGCCUUUGACUGUGGAUUUUAGAGCAGUAAAGUAAGCACCCAGAAGGUAGGAUAUACAUCUGCAUAUUGUCAUUUGUUUUCUACCUGGCAUUUUUGCUGUUGCUCUUUGAUUUCUCUGUUUUUUUUUUCUUUUUUAUGACUAAUAUUUAUAAUUGCUAGUCCACCAUUUCCAUUCCAUUGUUACUUUUACUAUAUUGGUUUGUGUUAUUUUGUUGUUGUUAUUUACCUGGAGGCUAAACUAACAUCUUACCCUAAAACAAUCUAGUUUAGAUUUAAAAUAAUUUCAUUUCAACUGUAUUUAAAUAUGGGUCCAUUUCCUCCCUCCUCCUUUGUGUUUUAAUUGUCAUACAAAUUAUAUUUUUAUACAUUAUUAUUCCAUCCACAUAUUAUUAUAAUUACUGUUUUAUACAGCUGUGUUUACUUCCAAAAAUUAUUUGGGAGUAAAAAAUUUUUACAAAGAAAAAUAUAUUAAUACUGUAUUUUAUAUUUAUCUAUGUAGCUAUCUUUCUUGGUGCUUUUUACUCCUUCAUAUAAAUUCAAGUUACUGUCUAGGGUUCUUUCACUUCAGCCUGAAAGAUUAUCUUUACCAUUUCUUGUAGGGCAGUUCGGCUAGUUAUGAAUUCUCAGUUUUACUUUUUCUGUAAUAAUUCCUUCUGCUUUAGAAUAGAUUUUGCUGGAUGUAAAACUCUUGUUUGACGGUUUUUUCUUUGAGCACCGUGAACAUGUCCUCCCACCAUCAUCUGGCCUCUCUGGUUCCUACUGAGAAAUCAGCUGUUAAUCUUUUGAAGAUCCCUUGUAUACAACUAAAUCACCUCUUUUUGUUUCUGCUUUUAAGAUUGUCCUUCAGUAUUUGCCUUCUGACAAGAAAUUUGUUUGCUAAAUCUACUGUAACAAAAUAUCACUGGGUGGCUUAAAUAAUGGAAAUCUGGUUUCUCACAGUUGUAGCAACCACAAGUUCAAGAUUAAUGUGCUGACAGGUUGGAUUUCUCAUGAGACUUCUUUCCUUAGUUUGAAGACACCGCCAGUUCACCAUAUUUUCCCAUGGCCUUUUCUCUGUGCAUAUACAUCUCUGAUGUCCCUCCUGAAUCUUAUAUAGUACUUCUUAUAAGAGCAUCAGUCAGGUUGGUUUAGGACAUACCCAAACGGCCUGAUUUUAACCUAAUUACCCCCUUUAAUGGUGUGCUAUCUUUAAAUACAGUCACAUUCUGUGGUUGGGGGUUAGGACUUCAACAUAUAAUUUUGGAAGGGAAACAAUUGAAUCUAUAAGACAAUUUUACUAUAAUAUUUUUUGUUGUGGAUCUUAUUGAGUUUAUACUAUUAACACUUAAAGUAGUUUAGUUUCUUGGAUGUGUAGCUUAAUGCUUCUCAUUAAAUUUAGGCGGUUUCCACUCAUGAUUUCCUUAAAUAUUCUUUCUGUUGAUACUUGAUGCUAUCUGAUUUUUUUCAUUUUAGCUACUCUGAUGUGUGUGUAAUGAUACUGAAUCAUUAUUUUAAUUUGUAAUUCCCUGAAGAGUAGUACAGCUUAUCAUCUUGUUCUACUCAUUAUCUAUUUAGUUGUUUUCUUUUAUAAUGGGCUUUGUAGAAUUUUGACUAUUUUUAUGAGUUUUCCUUUCAUCUGAUUUGUAGACGUUUUUUAUACAUUCUACAUGUGAGCUAUUUCUGAACCCAAGUGGACCUAAAUGUGACUGUAAAGAGAAAAAUUUUUAUUUUAUACAUAAUGUCCUAGGUCCUCUGUUUUCUUGAUUAACAUCUAACGAUUCCCUUGUAGGAAGAAUAAUAAAAUGAGCUAUAAUCCUUCCACAUUCCUUUCACUUGUCCCAUUAUUACAAAGUGAUAUCCUUACUCCUCAUUAAUAUUUUGUAGGUAAUUGGAAAGAUUUUUAUAUGUUCCAUACAUCUUCCCUCCA
ensembl:lncRNA